rnacentral:misc_RNA from 1 species
GCCUUUUUGGAUAUGGAAGAAUCCACAAGGGAGACAUAAAAGGCUCUAGAAUAACUUUUUUUGUGCCUCCCCUAAAUUAGAUAAUAUGCAAACGUCUUAAUCACCAUUAAAAAUGCUUAGAACCUGUAAUUAUACUGAUUAAUAAGGGCAAUGACAAAACGCAACAACCAUCUUAUAUUUGUUUAAUAAUUUAGAGCUCUAAAACAUAUAACAAAGGGGACCAAAAAAAAAUUAAAACACUUAGAAAGAGAAGAAAAGGCACAU